CCUACGGGAGGCAGCAGUGAGGAAUAUUGGUCAAUGGACGCAAGUCUGAACCAGCCAUGCCGCGUGCAGGAAGACGGCUCUAUGAGUUGUAAACUGCUUUUGUACGAGGGUAAACGCAGAUACGCGUAUCUGUCUGCAAGUAUCGUACGAAUAAGGAUCGGCUAACUCCGUGCCAGCAGCCGCGGUAAUACGGAGGAUUCAAGCGUUAUCCGGAUUUAUUGGGUUUAAAGGGUGCGUAGGCGGUCGGAUAAGUCAGGGGUGAAAUCCCGGGGCUCAACCUCGGAAUUGCCUUUGAUACUGUUCGGCUAGAGAGUAGUUGAGGUAGGCGGAAGGUGUGGUGUAGCGGUGAAAUGCUUAGAGAUCAUGCAGAACACCGAUUGCGAAGGCAGCUUGCCGGGCUACUUCUGACGUUGAGGCACGAAAGCGUGGGGAGCAAACAGGAUUAGAUACCCUAGUAGUC
rnacentral:rRNA from 1 species